rnacentral:rRNA from 1 species
GGGGAAUCUUAGACAAUGGGGGAAACCCUGAUCUAGCCAUGCCGCGUGAGCGAUGAAGGCCUUAGGGUUGUAAAGCUCUUUCAGCUGGGAAGAUAAUGACGGUACCAGCAGAAGAAGCCCCGGCUAACUCCGUGCCAGCAGCCGCGGUAAUACGGAGGGGGCUAGCGUUGUUCGGAAUUACUGGGCGUAAAGCGCGCGUAGGCGGACUGGAAAGUUGGGGGUGAAAUCCCAGGGCUCAACCCUGGAACUGCCUUCAAAACUAUCAGUCUGGAGUUCGAGAGAGGUGAGUGGAAUUCCGAGUGUAGAGGUGAAAUUCGUAGAUAUUCGGAAGAACACCAGUGGCGAAGGCGGCUCACUGGCUCGAUACUGACGCUGAGGUGCGAAAGCGUGGGGAGCAAAC